rnacentral:misc_RNA from 1 species
CACCACUCAAGCCUGGCUUGGUAUUGGGCGACGCGGGAUUCCCGCGCGCCUCAAAGUCUUUCCGGCUGAGUCGUCCGUCUCCAAGCGUUGUGGCAAACAAGUCGCGGCGAGACCGGGCGGCGCGGCCGUUAAAUCUUUCAUUCA